UCUCCUGGAAAACGGGUGGUAAUGCCGGAUGCUCCAGUUGAUCGCAUGGUCUUCUGGGAAAGCUUUCGCGGUAUGGGAUGGGGUCGCGUCCUAUCAGCUUGACGGCGGGGUAACGGCCCACCGUGGCUUCGACGGGUAGCCGGCCUGAGAGGGCGACCGGCCACAUUGGGACUGAGAUACGGCCCAGACUCCUACGGGAGGCAGCAGUGGGGAAUAUUGCACAAUGGGCGCAAGCCUGAUGCAGCGACGCCGCGUGAGGGAUGGAGGCCUUCGGGUUGUAAACCUCUUUUAUCGGGGAGCAAGCGAGAGUGAGUUUACCCGUUGAAUAAGCACCGGCUAACUACGUGCCAGCAGCCGCGGUAAUACGUAGGGUGCAAGCGUUAUCCGGAAUUAUUGGGCGUAAAGGGCUCGUAGGCGGUUCGUCGCGUCCGGUGUGAAAGUCCAUCGCUUAACGGUGGAUCCGCGCCGGGUACGGGCGGGCUUGAGUGCGGUAGGGGAGACUGGAAUUCCCGGUGUAACGGUGGAAUGUGUAGAUAUCGGA
rnacentral:rRNA from 1 species